rnacentral:rRNA from 1 species
GAUGAACGCUAGCGGCAGGCUUAAUACAUGCAAGUCGUGGGGCAGCACAGUAUAGCAAUAUAUGGGUGGCGACCGGCAAACGGGUGCGGAACACGUACGCAACCUUCCUACAGGCGGGGAAUAGCCCAGAGAAAUUUGGAUUAAUACCCCAUAAAAUUUUGAGGUGGCAUCAUCUUAUUAUUAAAGAUUUAUCACCUGAAGAUGGGCGUGCGGCUGAUUAGGUAGUGGCGGGGUAACGGCCCACCAAGCCUACGAUCAGUAGCUGAUGUGAGAGCAUGAUCAGCCACACGGGCACUGAGACACGGGCCCACUCCUACGGGAGGCAGGCAGUAAGGAAUAUUGGUCAAUGGACGCAAGUCUGAACCAGCCAUGCCGCGUGGAGGAUGAA